UACGUAGGUGGCAAGCGUUAUCCGGAAUCACUGGGCGUAAAGCGUGCGCAGGCGGUUAUGUAAGACAGAUGUGAAAUGCCCGGGCUUAACCUGGGAACUGCAUUUGUGACUGCAUGGCUAGAGUGUGUCAGAGGGGGGUAGAAUUCCACGUGUAGCAGUGAAAUGCGUAGAUAUGUGGAGGAAUACCGAUGGCGAAGGCAGCCCCCUGGGAUAACACUGACGCUCAUGCACGAAAGCGUGGGGAGCAAACAGG
rnacentral:rRNA from 1 species